rnacentral:misc_RNA from 1 species
AACGCACAUUGCGCCCUCUGGUAUUCCGGAGGGCAUGCCUGUUCGAGCGUCAUUAUACCCCUCAAGCCUAGCUUGGUAUUGGGACGCGCCGCCCGCCCGGCGGCGCUCCUUAAAAUCAGUGGCGGCUCAGCUCAGCUUCAAGCGUAGUAAUUUUUUCUCGCUCUGGAGCCUGGGUUGGUGCCUGCCAGAAGCCUAAUUUUUUUCAGGUUGACCUCGGAUCAGGUAGGGAUACCCGCUGAACUUAA